rnacentral:misc_RNA from 1 species
AGUCGUAACAAGGUUUCCGUAGGUGAACCUGCGGAAGGAUCAUUACCGAGUGAGGGCCCUCUGGGUCCAACCUCCCACCCGUGUCUAUCGUACCUUGUUGCUUCGGCGGGCCCGCCGUUUCGACGGCCGCCGGGGAGGCCUCGCGCCCCCGGGCCCGCGCCCGCCGAAGACCCCAACAUGAACGCUGUUCUGAAAGUAUGCAGUCUGAGUUGAUUAUCAUAAUCAGUUAAAACUUUCAACAACGGAUCUCUUGGUUCCGGCAUCGAUGAAGAACGCAGCGAAAUGCGAUAAGUAAUGUGAAUUGCAGAAUUCAGUGAAUCAUCGAGUCUUUGAACGCACAUUGCGCCCCCUGGUAUUCCGGGGGGCAUGCCUGUCCGAGCGUCAUUGCUGCCCUCAAGCACGGCUUGUGUGUUGGGCCCCCGUCCCCUCUCCCGGGGACGGGCCCGAAAGGCAGCGGCGGCACCGCGUCCGGUCCUCGAGCGUAUGGGGCUUUGUCACCCGCUCUGUAGGCCCGGCCGGCGCCAGCCGACACCCAACUUUAUUUCUAAGGUUGACCUCGGAUCAGGUAGGGAUACCCGCUGAACUUAAGCAUAUCAAUAAGCGGAGGAA